UACGUAGGGGGCAAGCGUUGUCCGGAUUCAUUGGGCGUAAAGAGCGUGUAGGCGGCCAGGUAGGUCGGUUGUGAAAACUGGAGGCUCAACCUUCAGACGUCGAUCGAAACCAUCUGGCUAGAGUCCGGGAGAGGAGAGUGGAAUUCCGUGGUGUAGCGGGUGAAAUGCGCAGAUAUCAGGAAGAACACCCGUGGCGAAAGCGGCUCUCUGGAACGGUACUGACGCUGAGACGCGAAAGCGUGGGGAGCGAACAGG
rnacentral:rRNA from 1 species